UAGGGAAUAUUGGACAAUGGGGGCAACCCUGAUCCAGCCAUGCCGCGUGAGUGAAGAAGGCCCUCGGGUUGUAAAGCUCUUUUGUCCGGAAAGAAAAGCUUCGGGUUAAUACCCCGGGGUUCUGACGGUACCGGAAGAAUAAGCACCGGCUAACUUCGUGCCAGCAGCCGCGGUAAUACGAAGGGUGCAAGCGUUACUCGGAAUUACUGGGCGUAAAGCGUGCGUAGGUGGUUGUUUAAGUCUGAUCUGAAAGCCCUGGGCUCAACCUGGGAAUGGCAUUGGAAACUGGGCAGCUAGAGUGCGGUAGAGGGUAGUGGAAUUCCCGGUGUAGCAGUGAAAUGCGUAGAGAACGGGAGGAACAUCUGUGGCGAAGGCGACUGCCUGGACCAGCACUGACACUGAGGCACGAAAGCGUGGGGAGCAAACA
rnacentral:rRNA from 1 species